CCUACGGGAGGCAGCAGUAGGGAAUCUUCCACAAUGGGCGAAAGCCUGAUGGAGCAACGCCGCGUGGGUGAAGAAGGUCUUCGGAUCGUAAAACCCUGUUGUUAGAGAAGAAAGUGCGUGAGAGUAACUGUUCACGUUUCGACGGUAUCUAACCAGAAAGCCACGACUAACUACGUGCCAGCAGCCGCGGUAAUACGUAGGUGGCAAGCGUUAUCCGGAUUUAUUGGGCGUAAAGGGAACGCAGGCGGUCUUUUAAGUCUGAUGUGAAAGCCUUCGGCUUAACCGGAGUAGUGCAUUGGAAACUGGGAGACUGGAGUGCAGAAGAGGAGAGUGGAACUCCAUGUGUAGCGGUGAAAUGCGUAGAUAUAUGGAAGAACACCAGUGGCGAAAGCGGCUCUCUGGUCUGUAACUGACGCUGAGGUUCGAAAGCGUGGGUAGCAAACAGGAUUAGAUACCCGUGUAGUC
rnacentral:rRNA from 1 species